AUUGAACGCUGGCGGCAUGCCUUACACAUGCAAGUCGAACGGCAGCACGGGUGCUUGCACCUGGUGGCGAGUGGCGAACGGGUGAGUAAUACAUCGGAACAUGUCCUGUCGUGGGGGAUAGCCCGGCGAAAGCCGGAUUAAUACCGCAUACGAUCUUCGGAUGAAAGCGGGGGACCUUCGGGCCUCGCGCUAUAGGGUUGGCCGAUGGCUGAUUAGCUAGUUGGUGGGGUAAAGGCCUACCAAGGCGACGAUCAGUAGCUGGUCUGAGAGGACGACCAGCCACACUGGGACUGAGACACGGCCCAGACUCCUACGGGAGGCAGCGGUGGAGAAUUUUGGACAAUGGGCGAAAGCCUGAUCCAGCAAUGCCGCGUGUGUGAAGAAGGCCUUCGGGUUGUAAAGCACUUUUGUCCGGAAAGAAAUCCUUGGCCCUAAUACGGUCGGGGGAUGACGGUACCGGAAGAAUAAGCACCGGCUAACUACGUG
rnacentral:rRNA from 1 species